AAUGACAGUACCGGGAGAAUAAGCUCCGGCUAACUCCGUGCCAGCAGCCGCGGUAAUACGGAGGGAGCUAGCGUUGUUCGGAAUUACUGGGCGUAAAGCGUACGUAGGCGGUUAUUCAAGUCAGAGGUGAAAGCCCGGGGCUCAACCCCGGAACUGCCUUUGAAACUAGGUAGCUAGAAUCUUGGAGAGGUCAGUGGAAUUCCGAGUGUAGAGGUGAAAUUCGUAGAUAUUCGGAAGAACACCAGUGGCGAAGGCGACUGACUGGACAAGUAUUGACGCUGAGGUACGAAAGCGUGGGGAGCAAACAGGAUUAGAUACCCUGGUAGUCCACGCCGUAAA
rnacentral:rRNA from 1 species